UGGUGAAUCUUGGACAAUGGGCGAAAGUCUGACGCAGCAACGCCGCGUGGGUGAUGAAGGUCUUCGGAUUGUAAAACCCUGUCGUCAGGGACGAAGGUUGGGAUCCUAAUACGGUUUCAGCUUGACGGUACCUGGAGAGGAAGCCCCGGCUAACUCUGUGCCAGCAGCCGCGGUAAUACAGAGGGGGCAAGCGUUAUUCGGAAUUAUUGGGCGUAAAGCGCACGCAGGCGGUCUGUUGAGUCAGAUGUGAAAUCCCCGGGCUCAACCUGGGAACUGCAUUUGAAGCAGGCAGGCUUGAGUCUUGUAGAGGGGGGUAGAAUUCCCGGUGUAGCGGGGAAAUGCGUAGAGAUCGGGAGGAACACCAGUGGCGAAGGCGGCUACCUGGACCAGCACUGACACUGAGUCACGAAAGCGUGGGGAGCAAACA
rnacentral:rRNA from 1 species